rnacentral:rRNA from 1 species
UGCAAGUCGACGCGAACGCACCUUCGGGUGUUAGUAGAGUGGCGGACGGGUGAGUAACACUUGGGAAUCUGCCUAGUAGUGGGGGAUAACUCGGGGAAACUCGAGCUAAUACCGCAUACGCCCUACGGGGGAAAGAUUUAUCGCUAUUAGAUGAGCCCAAGUCAGAUUAGCUAGUUGGUAGGGUAAAGGCCUACCAAGGCGACGAUCUGUAGCUGGUCUGAGAGGACGAACAGCCACACUGGGACUGAGACACGGCCCAGACUCCUACGGGAGGCAGCAGUGGGGAAUAUUGGACAAUGGGCGAAAGCCUGAUCCAGCAAUGCCGCGUGUGUGAAGAAGGCCUGCGGGUUGUAAAGCACUUUCAGUUGGGAAGAUGAUGACGUUACCAACAGAAGAAGCACCGGCUAACUCCGUGCCAGCAGCCGCGUAAUACG